ACGAGGACAUGUUGUUAUGCAGCUCAUUGAAAUGUCAGCAGUGCAAAUAUAGCAUAUAGCUUGUGUAAUAAGAUACACUUUAUUUUUAUACAUAGAAUCAAGAUGGCUGACUUCCUGUUGCCGUCGGCGGUUUUGCUGAAGGUGGGAAGGUGAGGAUGAAAACGCAGUAGUGGCGUUGUUGUAUCUUACGACUGUUUGUUUUACUGACUGAGCAAGUAGAAGAAGGAAGAGAAGGCAGCGCUGUUAUGACUGGUCUGUCUGCUUUAUUCUGUGCGCCAAUCCCGAAACCAUCGCCGGAGACGGAUCACCAAAGGCGCUGGCAAAUCUCACGAGUUCCUGUUUCGCUGUGUGUCUGCUGCCGCGCACCCGGAUUUUCCACCACGAUGACGAAGAGGAACAGAUCAAAAGACGAAGGAACAAUUAGCGUUUUCCUGAUGGCAAGGUCAAAAAGAGGAGAGGAAGGACAGUUCCUUGGCCUGGGAUCGUCAACAAUCGAACAUUCUUCUAUGGUUUGUCACUGCAUAUCCAUGCAUCAGUGAGCAUUAGGAGGUCAAGAAAAAAAUUAGACGGAAAAAAUGCCCUGAAAAUAAAGAAAACAGACUUAAAGGAA
rnacentral:lncRNA from 1 species